rnacentral:rRNA from 1 species
UACGGGGGGGGCAAGCGUUGUUCGGAAUUACUGGGCGUAAAGGGUGCGUAGGCGGCUUUCUAAGUUGGAUGUGAAAACUCUGGGCUCAACCCAGAGCCUGCAUCCAAAACUGGAGAGCUUGGGUUCUGGAGGGGAAAGCGGAAUUCCUGGUGUAGCGGUGAAAUGCGUAGAUAUCAGGAGGAACACCGGUGGCGAAGGCGGCUUUCUGGACAGAUACCGACGCUGAGGCACGAAGGCUAGGGGAGCAAACAGG